rnacentral:rRNA from 1 species
CCUACGGGAGGCAGCAGUAAGGAAUAUUGGUCAAUGGACGCAAGUCUGAACCAGCCAUGCCGCGUGAAGGAUUAAGGCCCUCUGGGUUGUAAACUUCUUUUAUAGGGGACGAAAAAAGGGCAUUCUUGCUCACUUGACGGUACCCUAGGAAUAAGCACCGGCUAACUCCGUGCCAGCAGCCGCGGUAAUACGGAGGGUGCAAGCGUUAUCCGGAUUUACUGGGUUUAAAGGGUGCGUAGGUGGGUUGGUAAGUCAGUGGUGAAAUCUUCGAGCUUAACUCGGAAACUGCCAUUGAUACUAUCAAUCUUGAAUCAUCUAGAGGUAGGCGGAAUAUGUCAUGUAGCGGUGAAAUGCUUAGAUAUGACAUAGAACACCAAUUGCGAAGGCAGCUUACUAUGGAUGUAUUGACACUGAGGCACGAAAGCGUGGGGAUCAAACAGGAUUAGAUACCCUGGUAGUCCACGCCCUAAACGAUGGAUACUCGACAUUUGUGAUAUACUAUAAGUGUCUGAGCGAAAGCAUUAAGUAUCCACCUGGAAGUACGACCGCAAGGUUGAAACUUAAAGGAAUUGACGG